rnacentral:lncRNA from 1 species
ACAUUACCUUCUAUGAGAGCCCUUAGUUUAAAAAACAACUUUUCUUGGUGCAGUUAAAUUUUAACAUAUUUUUAGUAUUUUCUUGGGAACAUCAGUUCACCCAGGUGGUUGUUGGUACAGCUCACCUGAUCCAAAGUGCCGAGUGCAUCACCAGGCGUCUGACAUCUGUUAACUUUUACACCAAUCAUACCAAACUGGUCCCCCAUCCUCAUUGGAGUAUUUACUUUAAAAAUAUGAUAACACUGCAUGCCAUUCAACAUUUGAAAUAAUUGAGAAUGAGACUCUAUGGUGGAUGCACAGUUUUACCACAGCACAAGUUUUUAACCAUUUUAAUGUGUUAUAGUUGACUUAUACUCACACAAGUGUAAUAUAGUGUACAGAUAUGCACCUGUUGUCCAUUUAAUCCUGUAAAUUGAACAUUUUAGCCAAGUUUUUGUUUUUAAUAGACAUUUACAUUGGCACAUUUUAUCACUGGCAAACC